GACGUAGGGCGCGAGCGUUGUCCGGAUUUAUUGGGCGUAAAGAGCUCGUAGGCGGCUUGUUGCGUCGGCUGUGAAAACCCGUGGCUUAACUGCGGGCUUGCAGCUGAUACGGGCGGGCUAGAGUUCGGUAGGGGAGACUGGAAUUCCUGGUGUAGCGGUGAAAUGCGCAGAUAUCAGGAGGAACACCGGUGGUGUAGACGGCUUACUGGACCACGACUGACACUGAGGCACGAAAGCGUGGGUAGCAAACAGG
rnacentral:rRNA from 1 species